rnacentral:rRNA from 1 species
GAGUGAAGCGGCAACAGCUCAAAUUUGAAAUCUGGGCCCGAGUUGUAAUUUGUAGAGGAUACUUUUGAUGCGGUCCUUCCGAGUUCCCUGGAACGGGACGCCAUAGAGGGUGAGAGCCCCGUCUGGUUGGAUGCCAUCUCUGUAAAGUUCCUUCAACGAGUCGAGUAGUUUGGGAAUGCUGCUCUAAAUGGGAGGUAUAUGUCUUCUAAAGCUAAAUACCGGCCAGAGACCGAUAGCGCACAAGUAGAGUGAUCGAAAGAUGAAAAGCACUUUGAAAAGAGAGUUAAAAAGUACGUGAAAUUGUUGAAAGGGAAGCGUUUAUGACCAGACUUGGGCUUGGAAUCAUCUGGGGUUCUCCCCAGUGCACUUUCCAGUCAGGCCAGCAUCAGUUUUCCCCGGGGGAUAAGGCGGCGGGAAUGUGGCUCUGGGAGUGUUAUAGCCCACCGUAUACCCUGGGGGGGACUGAGGUUCGCGCAUCUGCAAGGAUGCUGGCGUAAUGGUCAUCAACGACCCGUCUUGAAACACGGACCAAGGAGUCGUCUUCGUAUGCGAGUGUUCGGGUGUCAAACCCCUACGCGUAAUGAAAGUGAACGCAGGUGAGAGCGGCGCAUCAUCGACCGAUCCUGAUGUUCUCGGAUGGAUUUGAGUAAGAGCAUACGGGGCCGGACCCGAAAGAAGGUGAACUAUGCCUGUAUAGGGUGAAGCCAGAGGAAA